UGGGAGCUUUGAUGAUAACCAAAGCAAAUGUUUAAUUACCUACAAAAUAUUAAAUGUCUUGCUAGAAAAUCAAAGUCAAAAAGCAAAAAAAAAAAAAAAAAAAACUUUACAAAACUACAGAUUCACAUGCACUGGAUAUCGAUAUAUCAUAGGAAAGGAUACAAUAUGCUGCCUGCUCUGUACACAGGAUGUGACACGAUCAUUGGAUUCAGAUGGAUUCCUUCUUUCAUAAUGUACAGACUUCCUAUUUAGGUUUGGGAUGAGGAAAGAUGUCCACAUCACUCUCUCACUAUAUAAAUUCUCCUCAGUUCCUCUCACAUUCAGAGGCUGGCAAUGGCAGAGUUUAAGCACAUUCAGGACUCCAGCAGCAGCUCACAGAACAACUUUUACUGUGUACUAAAUGAGGACAUUAACAAGAAACCAUCACACACAUGGAAAGGUCGCAUUUGGAAUAAACAGUUUUGCUUUCUUCUGAUGUGUGGCAGUGUCAUACUCUUCAUGGCUCUGUUGAUCACAGUAUCUGUAAAAUUGCAGCACCAAUACAGUAAACUGACCGAGGUAGAGAAUGAAGUGGCCAAUCUGACUUCUUCUUUAGCUUUGCUUUCUUCAAACCAACAAGACACAUUGCAACACCAAUACAGUAAACUGACCGAGGUAGAGAAUGAAGUGGCCAAUCUAACUUCUUCUUUAGCUUUGCUUUCUUCAAACCAACAAGAAACAUGUGAGAUUUUACCUUAAGAUUUAUAUUUCAUAAAGAACUUGAUAAUGACUUUAAUUGUUAAUUAAAUACUUCUUAAACCGGUAAAGCACAUGUUCAAACAUAAAUGAACAUACUUUCUAACUAAUGUAAUAUCGCAGGGCAACAUUGUUCCGAAUAUGAUUACUAGCAUGAUAUUGUUUUGAUACACCAGUGCAAUGGACAUGAAUUAAAGUAACUUGCAUUUCAGAGACAUAUUGGCAGUUAUUUUGUGUAUUUUUGCUCCAAUAACAAAAACAUUACUAAAAUAAGUCAAACCAAGAAACAACCUUUGCCUCACUGAGCAAAACACAGUUUGUGAAGUUUCUUCUGAUCGAAUCUGUUAUUUGAAAG
rnacentral:lncRNA from 1 species